AUUGAAAAAGAUACUGAAGAAAUGCUUUAAGGUGUUUCCAUUGAUUGAUUGAUUGUUAAUAAAUCAAUGACACGUUUUUCCACCCACGUUUUUGGCUCACCGGCCGUGGCCGAGAGUACUGUUGUAUGCGUUUCCCCCUCUACAGUGCAUUCUCCCUGGAAUGUCUCGGGUGCGAUCGGAGGGGUUGUCUCUCAUACUGAUCGCCCCUUUUCGCCCGGGUGCCCUGUGGUUGGCAGUGGCGGCACAGAUGGCGGUGGGGACGCCGUGGCCGAUCCCUUCCCGCCACUGGGCGUUGUCACAGGCGAACGGCUUGAUCAGGGCAUUCCCUGUGCUGGGUCAGCCGGGGACUGACUGAGGAGGUGGUCGUGACCAUUCGAGCUAUACUAGCCGUUGGGGUAUCUUUGCCCGCUGAUGUGAGGACACGGGCAGUGUCCUGUCGUUCCUGCAGAGUCUAUUUGAGCAGCAAAGGUUCCCUGGCAUGCUCAAGGUGUACGCAGGUGCGAUCUCAGCGUGUCAUGAGGGGGUCAAUGGAGUGUCUGCUAGACCUCAUCCCUUCAUUCGGCGCCAACAUUAAUAAAGGAUGUUUUGUCGUCAUUGGGGGGAAAAGUUUUUUGCAGUGGUUGUGGCGAGAGACUCGAAGAAAGUCUUGAACCAACGUCUUUGGCUCAAUCCACCGAUGGACCAACUUCAGGUAAGUUAACGUAACCUUAUUUGUAGCUUAUGGUGAGUUUCCCAUGUCUGUCGGUCUGCAAGCUAAGGAACAAAAUAAUGUUCAAAAUGAUGUACUCUGUUGCACUGUAUUAGUUACUGCGCUGUAUAAGUUUAUAGCCAAUGUCGUGCCAAGAAAGUUACCCCUGUAUAUAGUUUGUCUGCGGCCGCGUGAGCGUGCAUGCAUCCAGUGAAGGUGGUGUGGCACUAACUAGUGUCUGCCAAAAAGUGAUUUCAGUCAAAUAAAAAUGUACUUUUGCAAAACAGCUCCAUGUUCCAGACUGCUGGAUGCUUCCUACAUGUGAAGAGUUCUGAGGACAGGCAAACUCUUGUGGAGGAAUACCUCAGAUGGUAUAUUCUACACAGAAACCAGAGUGUUAUUCAAAGAUUCAAAGGACUUGCAAGUCUACAGUUUAUGACCGCACUCCAGCAGCAUCCGACAUGGAACCUGACAGCUGCCGACAUGGAAAGACUGUUUAGUCCACACCUCAGUCCAGCAGGAAGUAACAGUCGGCAGAAAGAAGGCAAAAAUAUUUUUUAUUGUUGAUUGUGAAGAAAAAGCGACUGCUAUGUCCCUAGAGGAUGUCCUGCUGUUUGCUACAGGGCUCGCAUCACUUCCACCUGCUGGAAUAACACCACUACCAUGCAGAGUUCUUACCAAAUUCGCCAUUCCCUAUGUCAAAUACCUGUGCAAAUACGCUAUAGCUCCCUUUCCUUGAGACCUACAGUGUCUUUAAGACAAACAUGGAGUUUGGCUCACAGAAUUCUCCAGGCUUUGGGUGCAUUUAAUGCUGUGCCAAGUCUGGAUUUUGCCCAGUCUUAAACCUGCAGUUUAUAAAGCAUAAAAGAGUGCAUGCUCAGUUCAAAGCAUUUUAAUGUGUAUUAUUACUGUUACUUUGUUCAAUGAAACAUUAUUGUUCAAUGAAAAAUCACAGAACAAAUGCUAAGUACAGGUCACAUUACAAGUAACAGUAAAAUUGUACUCAGCUAAAAUGUAUGUAGUUUCACAUUUGAAACAGUGUAUAACAUGUUGUGUUGCAAACAAUACCUCUUGAAUAGAACCAUGUUUCUUUGGUUGUUCAGACCUACAAUUGACACACAGUUAACCCGAUGGUGAAUCAGAAAAUAAACAAAUAUAGUUUGGGAGUUACAUUUGAGUUUAAUGUAUGUCUCCACUCUGGUAUGACACUGCAUAUACUGAACUCCACUUGCCAAACAUGAUACUCAAUAAACCGCUAAGCCAAAU